AUGCCGCCUUUCCGUGAGUUGGAUCCAGCAUUCUCACUGCUGCUUACUAACCCUCCAUUGGCUACAAUGGUUCAUGGUACACCACAAUUGUCCGUGAACAAUGCAACUGUUUCUUCACAGCCACAAGAGAAUGUUAAUCAAGGUGGUUUAUCCAACCCACAGUUGACCCACUCUCAGGGAAGCACCGACAUUGCCCCAGGUCCUCCUCUGCCUCACCAUCUUGCUGCCCUUCAUCCUUAUGCUCAAGGAGGGCUUCCCCUUGGAUAUGAAAACAUGACCGGAUACCCAUCUUUGCCGCAAAGCUAUGCGUAUCUCCCGCCUGCUGCCUAUCAGCAAGCAUACAUGAACAGUGGUCUAUUCCACCAAGGCGCAGCUGCAGCUCCCAACUCGGGCAUAAAAUACCCAAUGCCACAAUACAGGAGCAAUGUUCCUCUUGGGAGCCUUCCACAGCCAGCCUCGAUGCUCUCCAACUACGUUGGAGGUUUCGGAACUGCAAAUGGCAUGCCUCAAAACUUUGCCCUGAACCAAAGCAAUCCGUCGGCAACCACAGCUCCUGGGUUUGAUGGAGCAAUGCCCUCCCAAUACAAGGAUGGAAACCCCUACAUGUCUCUACAGCAGGGCGAGAACCCUGCAAUGUGGAUGCAUGGAGCUGGUUCGCGAGGAAUGCCGCCUCUUGCUGCCAACCCCUUGUAUGGCUAUCAAGGGCAGCAGGGCUACCAGGGGCAGCAGGGCCACCAGGGCGGCCUUAGGCAGGGGCAGAUGCCGUCGCAGUACGGCACAACGCUCGGGCAGUCGCAGCCAGGCCUAGGACCCGAACACUGAAACCCCCGCGACGGAAACUUGAGUGCUGCCGCCGCCGCCCGGGCUAACCAAAUGUGCCUGAAUGGCUACUGA
rnacentral:rRNA from 1 species